AAAGUGGAGCACCGGCCGGGUGU
rnacentral:misc_RNA from 1 species